rnacentral:rRNA from 1 species
UACACUCCUGCGGGAGGCAGCAGUGGGGAAUUUUGGACAAUGGGCGAAAGCCUGAUCCAGCAAUGCCGCGUGAGUGAAGAAGGCCUUCGGGUUGUAAAGCUCUUUUGUCAGGGAAGAAACGGUGAAAGCUAAUAUCUUUUGCUAAUGACGGUACCUGAAGAAUAAGCACCGGCUAACUACGUGCCAGCAGCCGCGGUAAUACGUAGGGUGCAAGCGUUAAUCGGAAUUACUGGGCGUAAAGCGUGCGCAGGCGGUUUUGUAAGUCUGAUGUGAAAUCCCCGGGCUCAACCUGGGAAUUGCAUUGGAGACUGCAAGGCUAGAAUCUGGCAGAGGGGGGUAGAAUUCCACGUGUAGCAGUGAAAUGCGUAGAUAUGUGGAGGAACACCGAUGGCGAAGGCAGCCCCCUGGGUCAAGAUUGACGCUCAUGCACGAAAGCGUGGGGAGCAAACAGGAUUAGAACCCGUGUAGUCCCAUGA